UACGGGGGGAGCAAGCGUUGUUCGGAUUUACUGGGCGUAAAGGGCGCGUAGGCGGUCAGCACAAGUCAGUUGUGAAAUCUCCGGGCUUAACCCGGAAAGGUCAACUGAUACUGUGCGACUAGAGUGCGGAAGGGGCAACUGGAAUUCUCGGUGUAGCGGUGAAAUGCGUAGAUAUCGAGAGGAACACCUGCGGCGAAGGCGGGUUGCUGGGCCGAAACUGACGCUGAUGCGCGAAAGCCAGGGGAGCGAACGGG
rnacentral:rRNA from 1 species